rnacentral:rRNA from 1 species
AACGAACGCUGGCGGCAGGCUUAACACAUGCAAGUCGAGCGCCUCGCAAGGGGAGCGGCAGACGGGUGAGUAACGCGUGGGAACGUACCCUUUACUACGGAAUAGCUCCGGGAAACUGGAAUUAAUACCGUAUGUGCCCUUUGGGGGAAAGAUUUAUCGGUAAAGGAUCGGCCCGCGUUGGAUUAGCUAGUUGGUGGGGUAAAGGCCUACCAAGGCGACGAUCCAUAGCUGGUCUGAGAGGAUGAUCAGCCACAUUGGGACUGAGACACGGCCCAAACUCCUACGGGAGGCAGCAGUGGGGAAUAUUGGACAAUGGGCGCAAGCCUGAUCCAGCCAUGCCGCGUGAGUGAUGAAGGCCUUAGGGUUGUAAAGCUCUUUCACCGGAGAAGAUAAUGACGGUAUCCGGAGAAGAAGCCCCGGCUAACUUCGUGCCAGCAGCCGCAGUAAUAC